GACGAACGCUGGCGGCGUGCUUAACACAUGCAAGUCGAACGGAAAGGCCCAGCUUGCUGGGUGCUCGAGUGGCGAACGGGUGAGUAACACGUGGGUGAUCUGCCUCUAACUUCGGGAUAAGCUUGGGAAACUGGGUCUAAUACCGGAUAGGACAAUCGUUUAGUGUCGGUUGUGGAAAGUUUUUUCGGUUAGGGAUGAGCCCGAGGCCUAUCAGCUUGUUGGUGGGGUAAUGGCCUACCAAGGCGUCGACGGGUAGCCGGCCUGAGCGGGUGGACGGCCACAUUGGGACUGAGUAACGGCCCAGACUCCUACGGGAGGCAGCAGUGGGGAAUAUUGCACAAUGGGCGCAAGCCUGAUGCAGUGACGCCGCGUGGGGGAUGACGGCCUUCGGGUUGUAAACCUCUUUCGACAGGGACGAAGCGCAAGUGACGGUACCUGCAGAAGAAGUCCCGGCUAACUACGUGCCAGCAGCCGCCGUAACAC
rnacentral:rRNA from 1 species